rnacentral:rRNA from 1 species
CAGUUCAGAUUGCAGGCUGCAACUCGCCUGCAUGAAGUCGGAAUUGCUAGUAAUCGUAGGUCAGCAUACUACGGUGAAUACGUUCCCGGGCCUUGUACACACCGCCCGUCAAACCAUGAGAGUUGGCAACACCCGAAGUCGGUAGUCUAACCGCAAGGAGGACGCCGCCGAAGGUGGGGUUGAUGAUUAGGGUUAAGUCGUAACAAGGUAUC